rnacentral:ncRNA from 1 species
UAAUGAUAAAGGCAAACUUAUCGAAAGGUAAGGACGCAAAGCCACGGGUCUAAGGUUCACAAGCUCUGAACAAUGACAGCCGGGCUGCCAAG